rnacentral:rRNA from 1 species
UUUAAAGGUCGAACAGACCUAUUACUUAAAGCUUCUGCACUUUAAAAUUUCUUUAAUUCAACAUCGAGGUCGCAAACUUUAUUAUAGAUAUGAACUCUCCAACAAAAUUACGCUGUUAUCCCUAAGGUAACUUAUUCUAAUAAUCACUAUGAAUGGAUCAAAAAUUCAUAAAUCAAUGUAAAAUUAUUAAGAAAGUUUUUUUUAUUUCCCUGUCACCCCAACAAAAUAUUUUAUUAUUUAAAUUAAUCAUAUUUUUCUAACAAAAACUUAAAUAAAUAAAUAUAAAGUUCUAUAGGGUCUUCUCGUCCUCUAAUAAUAUUCAAGCCUUUUGACUAGAAAGCUAAAUUAUUAAAAUUUUAAAAAUGAGACAGUUUGUAUCUCGUUCAACCAUUCAUACUAGCCUCUAAUUAAAAGGCAAAUGAUUAUGCUACCUUUGCACAGUCAAGAUACUGCGGCCCUUCAAAAUUCAGUGGGCAGGUCAGACUUUAAAUUAUGAUCAAAAAGAC